rnacentral:rRNA from 1 species
CCACCGCGGUUAAACGGGGGACCCUAGUUGAUAACACCACGGCGUAAAGGGUGGUUAAGGAAAGUAAAAUAAUAAAGCCGAAUGGCCCUUUGGCCGUCAUACGCUUCUAGGCACUUGAAGCCCAAUUUAUACGAAAGUAGCUUUAAUAAAGCCCACCUGACCCCACGAAAGCUGAGAAACAAACUGGGAUUAGAUACCCCACUAUGCUCAGCUAUAAACCUAGACUUCCAAAUACAGAUAAACGUUCGCCCGGGUACUACGAGCAUUAGCUUGAAACCCAAAGGACCUGACGGUGCCUUAGACCCCCCUAGAGGAGCCUGUUCUAGAACCGAUAAUCCCCGUUAAACCUCACCACUUCUGGCCGUCCCAGCCUGUAUACCGCCGUCGUCAGCUUACCCUGUGAAGGUAAAAAAGUAAGCAAAAUGGGCAUAGCCCAGAACGUCAGGUCAAGGUGCAGCUUACGGAGUGGAAAGAAAUGGGCUACAUUUUCUAUCACAGAAUACUACGAAUAUGCAACAUGAAACAAUGCUUGAAGGAGGAUUUAGUAGUAAAAAGGAAGCAGAGUGUCCUUUUGAACCCGGCUCUGAGGCGCGUACACACCGCCCGUCACCCUCCCCGUCAAUAAAUGCAAUAAAAGUACAUAACACCAAAGCACUGACAAGAGGAGGCAAGUCGUAACAUG